ACAACAGGGCGAUCUAAUUAAAUCCCGUCACGCGCUGCCCAUUUGCUCAGGCACACCUGCACCCUCAGCCCUAAUUAAUGCUGCUGCUGUUCAUACCUGUAUUGCCGUCCAUAAGCUAGCUCGACUUCUAGCAUGUCCAUGUUUCUUCAGGACGUUUUUGUGGAGGAAUUAACCGUGUUUACACAGUGCUGACAGCUGUUGCCCGUGUUCAGACUCCGUUUUUCGGUUGUUGCUCACAUCAGCUGUGAACCACAAAAACGCACUUCCUGGCAGAAGUGGAGUUCUCCUGUCCAUUUCAGUGACCGACUCUGUAAAAGUCCAUUCUUCUCACAGCGUCACUUCACCAAGAAAUGCGUGAAAUCUAAGGUUCAGUUUCAAGAGGCCACAACAGAAAACUAACCAGUCUUCAAGAAUUGUGGAAAACAAGGAAUGCAGACAGUCUCAUGGAUUCAAAAGAAGCUUAAGGUGAAACAUCAUGCAAAAUCUGUUUGACCUUCAGUAUUAAAAGGAGAAAAUGAGGAUCCAACACAGACUGUGCUGCUGGAUGGCCAUAGGUGGAGGCAGAGGUACUGAGUCAGCGCCCGUCACCCCCUCCUCCUCGCCGCAGCUCCACAUGCCCGAAGAAUUCAACUUUUUAAAGGUCUCGUCUCGGAAUUGACCGCAUUUUUACUCUGUCUUGUCUCGGUCUUAGAUAAAGAGGACUUUAUUUCAAGACCGGUCAAGACCACAACUGCCUUUUUGAUUUUUAUCAAGGCAUUUCUCAUAAUACACUUUUGGCAAUAAAAGCGGUGAAUGAAGAAGAAUCUUAA